rnacentral:ncRNA from 1 species
UGAAAUGCCAUGAUGGAGUAAAGUAAGCAGUACCUCUAUACAGGGAGGAAGCGCCGUUUGAUUGAGAGCGUUUCUAUAGAAACAGGCUGUUGAAGUUCCCUCCGGAGCAGUUCCUUGAACUUAAGUAGAGGGUACCGGUUCACGAUCCGUUACAUCGUUUAAAGUGAGAUAGUUAUGCUUUGCUCAGUAAUGAUAAGAGAUAUUAUGGAGCCAGAUGCAUGACUUCUAACAAGGGUGGUACCACGGUCUUUUCGUCCCUUUU